GCCUGGGUGGCUCAGUCGGUUAAGCAUCUGACUUCAGCUCAGGUCAUGCUCUUACAGUCUGUGAGUUCAAGCCCACGUCAGGCU
rfam:Felis catus isolate Cinnamon breed Abyssinian chromosome A1, whole genome shotgun sequence.